rnacentral:rRNA from 1 species
GUACCCGCUGAACUUAAGCAUAUCAAUAAGCGGAGGAAAAGAAACCAACAGGGAUUGCCUCAGUAACGGCGAGUGAAGCGGCAAGAGCUCAAAUUUGAAAGCUGGCCCCCUCGGGGUCCGCAUUGUAAUUUGCAGAGGAUGCUUCGGGAGUGGCCCCCAUCUAAGUGCUCUGGAACGGGCCGUCAUAGAGGGUGAGAAUCCCGUAUGGGAUGGGGUGUCCGCGACCAUGUGAAGCUCCUUCAACGAGUCGAGUUGUUUGGGAAUGCAGCUCUAAAUGGGUGGUAAAUUUCAUCUAAAGCUAAAUAUUGGCCGGAGACCGAUAGCGCACAAGUAGAGUGAUCGAAAGAUGAAAAGCACUUUGAAAAGAGAGUUAAAAAGCACGUGAAAUUGUUGAAAGGGAAGCGCUUGCGACCAGACUCGCCUACGGGGUUCAGCCGGUAUUCGUACCGGUGUACUUCCCCGUGGGCGGGCCAGCGUCGGUUUGGGCGGCCGGUCAAAGGCCCUCGGAAUGUAAUGCCUCUCGGGGCGUCUUAUAGCCGAGGAUGCCAUGCGGCCAGCCCAGACCGAGGAACGCGCUUCGGCACGGACGCUGGCAUAAUGGUCGUAAGCGACCCGUCUUGAAACACGG